UCCCAGACUCCUACGGGAGGCAGCAGUGAGGAAUAUUGGUCAAUGGGCGGGAGCCUGAACCAGCCAAGUCGCGUGAGGGAAGACGGUCCUAUGGAUUGUAAACCUCUUUUGUCGGGGAGCAAAGAGGCCUCGUGAGGUCAAAAGCGAGAGUACCCGAAGAAAAAGCACCGGCUAACUACGUGCCAGCAGCCGCGGUAAUACGUAGGGUGCGAGCGUUAAUCGGAAUUACUGGGCGUAAAGGGUGUGCAGGCGGCUGAGUAAGACAGAUGUGAAAUCCCCGGGCUUAACCUGGGAACCGCAUAUGUGACUGCUUGGCUAGAGUGCGUCAGAGGGAGGUGGAAUUCCACGUGUAGCAGUGAAAUGCGUAGAUAUGUGGAAGAACACCGAUGGCGAAGGCAGCCUCCUGGGACGCAACUGGCGCUCAUAUACGAAAGCGUGGGGAGCAAACAGGAUUAGAUACCCUCGUAUA
rnacentral:rRNA from 1 species